rnacentral:misc_RNA from 1 species
GCCUAAGAAAUUCCUUUUUCCCCAAAAUUAUUCUCUGCUUCAUAUUCUUGGAACCAAUAAUUGUAGCCUAUGUUUCUCCUAGAAGCAUAUAACUAAUAUUUUUUCAUUUUUUUUUUGAGAAUGCUCAUAACUGAAAAAUUAAAUUGGACAAGAAGAGCAUAAUUCACAAGUGAAUUAAAUAUAAUGGAAAUGGAACUUCAGCUUCAUGUGUAUAAUACGUAUAUAUUUUUGUUCUCUUGGUUGGGUACUGAGAAGGCACUAGCCCCUUGUGUCUGUCCCAGUCCCCCACCCUCUUAAAAAAGAAAAAAAGUGCGUUGUAUAAAAUUGAUUUUCGUUAGUAUGUGUUUAUUUUAUUGUCCUAGUAGUUACUCCAAAUAUCACUAAUAAACAAUAACUGGGCCAUCUCAGAUUUAUUUUCUUAUUCCAUUUUUAGGUGGAUAUGAACUUUUAACUUUUCUCAUUAAUAAAUUGUAGAACUUCCUUAGAUGUUGUGCAUUUUGAUGGGUGUUUGCAUGCUUUCCCUUUCCUUUAUUUUAUCUUUUGAAUUUUUGGAAAAUUUUUGAAGCCCUUGGACCCUAGUUGAGAUAUUACUAUUCGGUAAUUGGUAGUCUUAUCAGAACAGGUUAACAAUUUCGGGAUUCUGGUAGAACGUAGGUGUACAGUCUUGAAACUUGUAAAUGAAAUCUUCUUAUUCAU